rnacentral:ncRNA from 1 species
CGGGAUGCGUCCCGUGAAGGAAUGUGGCGUGGCAACACGCUUGAACCUGGAU